UACGUAGGGGGCUAGCGUUGUCCGGAUUUAUUGGGCGUAAAGAGCGUGUAGGCGGCCAUACAGGUCAGCUGUGAAAACUCGAGGCUCAACCUCGAGACGUCGGUUGAAACCGUAUGGCUAGAGUCCGGAAGAGGAGAGUGGAAUUCCCGGUGUAGCGGUGAAAUGCGCAGAUAUCGGGAAGAACACCUAUGGCGAAGGCAGCUCUCUGGGACGGUACUGACGCUGAGACGCGAAAGCGUGGGGAGCGAACAGG
rnacentral:rRNA from 1 species